rnacentral:tRNA from 1 species
CGGGGUGUAGCGCAGCCUGGUAGCGCACCUGCCUUGGGCGCAGGGGGUCGUGAGUUCGAAUCUCGCCACCCCGA